AGCAGCCAUCAUUUAAAGAAAGCGUAAUAGCUCACUGGUCGAGUCGGCCUGCGCGGAAGAUGUAACGGGGCUAAACCAUGCACCGAAGCUGCGGCAGCGACACUAUGUGUUGUUGGGUAGGGGAGCGUUCUGUAAGCCUGCGAAGGUGUGCUGUGAGGCAUGCUGGAGGUAUCAGAAGUGCGAAUGCUGACAUAAGUAACGAUAAAGCGGGUGAAAAGCCCGCUCGCCGGAAGACCAAGGGUUCCUGUCCAACGUUAAUCGGGGCAGGGUGAGUCGACCCCUAAGGCGAGGCCGAAAGGCGUAGUCGAUGGGAAACAGGUUAAUAUUCCUGUACUUGGUGUUACUGCGAAGGGGGGACGGAGAAGGCUAUGUUAGCCGGGCGACGGUUGUCCCGGUUUAAGCAUGUAGGCUGGUUAUCCAGGCAAAUCCGGAUAAUCAAGGCUGAGGUGUGAUGACGAGGCACUACGGUGCUGAAGUAACAAAUGCCCUGCUUCCAGGAAAAGCCUCUAAGCAUCAGGUAACAUCAAAUCGUACCCCAAACCGACACAGGUGGUCAGGUAGAGAAUACCAAGGCGCUUGAGAGAACUCGGGUGAAGGAACUAGGCAAAAUGGUGCCGUAACUUCGGGAGAAGGCACGCUGGUGUGUAGGUGAAGUCCCUGCGGAUGGAGCUGAGACCAGUCGAAGAUACCAGCUGGCUGCAACUGUUUAUUAAAAACACAGCACUGUGCAAACACGAAAGUGGACGUAUACGGUGUGACGCCUGCCCGGUGCCGGAAGGUUAAUUGAUGGGGUUAUCCGUAAGGAGAAGCUCUUGAUCGAAGCCCCGGUAAACGGCGGCCGUAACUAUAACGGUCCUAAGGUAGCGAAAUUCCUUGUCGGGUAAGUUCCGACCUGCACGAAUGGCGUAAUGAUGGCCAGGCUGUCUCCACCCGAGACUCAGUGAAAUUGAACUCGCUGUGAAGAUGCAGUGUACCCGCGGCAAGACGGAAAGACCCCGUGAACCUUUACUAUAGCUUGACACUGAACAUUGAGCCUUGAUGUGUAGGAUAGGUGGGAGGCUUUGAAGCGUGGACGCCAGUCUGCGUGGAGCCAACCUUGAAAUACCACCCUUUAAUGUUUGAUGUUCUAACGUUGGCCCCUGACCGGGGUUGCGGACAGUGUCUGGUGGGUAGUUUGACUGGGGCGGUCUCCUCCCAAAGCGUAACGGAGGAGCACGAAGGUUAGCUAAUCCUGGUCGGACAUCAGGAGGUUAGUGCAAUGGCAUAAGCUAGCUUGACUGCGAGCGUGACGGCGCGAGCAGGUGCGAAAGCAGGUCAUAGUGAUCCGGUGGUUCUGAAUGGAAGGGCCAUCGCUCAACGGAUAAAAGGUACUCCGGGGAUAACAGGCUGAUACCGCCCAAGAGUUCAUAUCGACGGCGGUGUUUGGCACCUCGAUGUCGGCUCAUCACAUCCUGGGGCUGAAGUAGGUCCCAAGGGUAUGGCUGUUCGCCAUUUAAAGUGGUACGCGAGCUGGGUUUAGAACGUCGUGAGACAGUUCGGUCCCUAUCUGCCGUGGGCGCUGGAGAAUUGAGGGGGGCUGCUCCUAGUACGAGAGGACCGGAGUGGACGCAUCACUGGUGUUCGGGUUGUCAUGCCAAUGGCACUGCCCGGUAGCUAAAUGCGGAAGAGAUAAGUGCUGAAAGCAUCUAAGCACGAAACUUGCCCCGAGAUGAGUUCUCCCUGAGACUUUAAGUCUCCUGAAGGAACGUUGAAGACGACGACGUUGAUAGGCCGGGUGUGUAAGCGCAGCGAUGCGUUGAGCUAACCGGUACUAAUGAACCGUGAGGCUUAACCUUACAACGCCGAAG
rnacentral:rRNA from 1 species